rnacentral:rRNA from 1 species
AUUGAACGCUGGCGGAAUGCUUUACACAUGCAGGUCGAACGGCAGCACGGGGGCAACCCUGGUGGCGAGUGGCGAACGGGUGAGUAAUAUAUCGGAACGUACCCAGUCGUGGGGGAUAACGUAGCGAAAGUUACGCUAAUACCGCAUACGAUCUACGGAUGAAAGCGGGGGAUCGCAAGACCUCGCGCGAUUGGAGCGGCCGAUAUCAGAUUAGGUAGUUGGUGAGGUAAAGGCUCACCAAGCCAACGAUCUGUAGCUGGUCUGAGAGGACGACCAGCCACACUGGGACUGAGACACGGCCCAGACUCCUACGGGAGGCGGCAGUGGGGAAUUUUGGACAAUGGGCGCAAGCCUGAUCCAGCCAUUCCGCGUGCAGGACGAAGGCCUUCGGGUUGUAAACUGCUUUUGUACGGAACGAAAAAGCCUUGGCUAAUACCCAGGGUCCAUGACGGUACCGUAAGAAUAAGCACCGGCUAACUACGUGCCAGCCGCCGCCGUAA